rnacentral:lncRNA from 1 species
CCAAAGGGAGGGGCAGGGGAGCCCACAGCAGAGAGCUGGGGGCUGCCUGCGCCGGCUCGCAGUCCCUGCACGCCCUAUCUGGGACCUGGGAUCACUCUGUAAGCAACUUGGAGUCAGACAGGAGGAGAUCACCGAGGAGAGACCUGGCCCCUCAGACCCGCACUGUCUGCUGGGCUGGCCAGCACAGAGCCAGGCCCGGGCCAGCCCCUCCUGGCAACUCUGCUCCUCCCAAAGGAUGCUUUGGGAGUGAGGCGAGGCUGGCCACUGCUCCCCGUGCAGCAGCCUCUGGUCCUCCUGAGUCUCUGGGAGCCUGGGACAGUCCUGCCUGCCCUUCUGCCCAGCUGUUGCCUGUGCUGGGCCCAGCAGUCUUUCUGAUAAGGAGGAAAGGGCAGGAAGGAGGACUUCCUGGAGGGGGUGACAGCCCACAACCUGGGACCGUGUCCACAUCAGAAUCCAUCAGCAACAAGGCCAAUAUGCAGCUUCCAUGUGUGAUGCCAUCUCCGGGGCCUUCAAGGUAGUUGCUGUUGCUGCCACUGCUGUUGCUGCUGGGACCACAGAUCUCCCAAGGCCUGGUCAUCACGCCCCCUGGGCCAGAGCUGGUUCUCAAUCUCUCUAGCACCUUUGUUCUGACCUGCUCGGUUCGGCUCCAGUGGUGUGGGAACGAAUGUCCCAGGUACCCCCACAGGAAAUGGUCGUGACCCAGGAUGGCACCUUCACCAGCGUGCUGACACUGACCAAUGUCACUGGCGGAGACACAGGAGAAUACUUUUGCACCUACAACAGUUCUGUCGGAGCUGGAGCCCAGUGAGCAGAAGCGGCUGUACAUCUUUGUGCCAGACCCCCAGCUGGUGGUGACACUGCAUGAGAAGAAAGAAGACAUCCCUCUACCUAUUCCCUAUGACCACCAGCGAGGUUUCAUUGGUACCUUGGAGGACAAGACCUACAUCUGCAAAACCACCAUUGGGGGACAGGGAAGUGGAUUCUGAUGCCUACUAUGUCUACAGCCUCCAGGUGUCAUCCAUCAAUGUCUCUGUGAAUGCAGUACAGACUGUGGUCCGCCAGGGGUGAGAACAUCACUAUCAUGUGCAUUGUGACGGGGGAAUGAGGUGGUCAACUUUGAGUGGAUGUACCCCGAAAGGAG